GGGGAUUUAGCUCAGUGGCAUAAGCACCUGCCUGGCAAGCAUGAGAUCGUGAGUUGAAUCCCCG
rfam:Cavia porcellus supercont2_0 genomic scaffold, whole genome shotgun sequence.